AGCUCUUUGUUGAGAACAUUUUUGGAGAAGGAUCUGGCCAAUGUUUGGCCGGUAAACUUGUGGAAUCGUGCACGACCACAGUGCGCUACUUGCAGGAAGAAAUGAAGAAAAUGCAGCAUUCGUUGAACGAGAAAAUUCAAGAACUGCUGAAGAACGGACAGCAGCGGGACAAAGAAAUUGAGGAGCUACAAUCAUACGUGACAACUUUAAGGAAUGACGUGAAUCAGCAACAGUCAGAUUUACAAG